rnacentral:rRNA from 1 species
GUACGGGAGGCAGCAGGUGGGGAAUAUUGCACAAGUGGGCGCAAGCCUGAUGCAGCCAUGCCGCGUGUAUGAAGAAGGCCUUCGGGUUGUAAAGUACUUUCAGUCGUGAGGAAGGUGUUAAGGUUAAUAACCUUAGCAAUUGACGUUAGCGACAGAAGAAGCACCGGCUAACUCCGUGCCAGCAGCCGCGGUAAUACGGAGGGUGCGAGCGUUAAUCGGAAUUACUGGGCGAAGGGCACGCAGGCGGUUAAUUAAGUUGGAUGUGAAUCCCCGGGCUUAACCUGGGAAUGGCAUUCAAGACUGGUUAGCUAGAGUCUUGUAGAGGGGGUAGAAUUCCAUGUGUAGCGGUGAAAUGCGUAGAGAUGUGGAGGAAUACCGGUGGCGAAGGCGGCCCCUGGGACAAAGACUGACGCUCAUGUGCGAAAGCGUGGGGAGGCAAACAGGAUUAGAUACC